rnacentral:rRNA from 1 species
CGUGGUAUCCUGUCUGAAUAUGGGGGGACCAUCCUCCAAGGCUAAAUACUCCUGACUGACCGAUAGUGAACCAGUACCGUGAGGGAAAGGCGAAAAGAACCCCGGCGAGGGGAGUGAAAAAGAACCUGAAACCGUGUACGUACAAGCAGUGGGAGCCUCUUAAUGGGGUGACUGCGUACCUUUUGUAUAAUGGGUCAGCGACUUAUAUUCUGUAGCAAGGUUAACCGAAUAGGGGAGCCGAAGGGAAACCGAGUCUUAACUGGGCGUUAAGUUGCAGGGUAUAGACCCGAAACCCGGUGAUCUAGCCAUGGGCAGGUUGAAGGUUGGGUAACACUAACUGGAGGACCGAACCGACUAAUGUUGAAAAAUUAGCGGAUGACUUGUGGCUGGGGGUGAAAGGCCAAUCAAACCGGGAGAUAGCUGGUUCUCCCCGAAAGCUAUUUAGGUAGCGCCUCGUGAAUUCAUCUCCGGGGGUAGAGCACUGUUUCGGCAAGGGGGUCAUCCCGACUUACCAACCCGAUGCAAACUGCGAAUACCGGAGAAUGUUAUCACGGGAGACACACGGCGGGUGCUAACGUCCGU